rnacentral:rRNA from 1 species
CCUACGGGUGGCAGCAGUGAGGAAUAUUGGUCAAUGGACGCAAGUCUGAACCAGCCAUGCCGCGUGCAGGAAGACGGCUCUAUGAGUUGUAAACUGCUUUUGUACGAGGGUAAACUCAGAUACGCGUAUCUGUCUGAAAGUAUCGUACGAAUAAGGAUCGGCUAACUCCGUGCCAGCAGCCGCGGUAAUACGGAGGAUUCAAGCGUUAUCCGGAUUUAUUGGGUGUAAAGGGUGCGUAGGCGGUCGGAUAAGUUAGAGGUGAAAUCCCGAGGCUCAACUUCGGAAUUGCCUCUGAUACUGUUAGGCUAGAGAGUAGUUGCGGUAGGCGGAAUGUAUGGUGUAGCGGUGAAAUGCUUAGAGAUCAUACAGAACACCGAUUGCGAAGGCAGCUUACCAAGCUACGUCUGACGUUGAGGCACGAAAGCGUGGGGAGCAAACAGGAUUAGAUACCCCUGUAGUC